GAAGCACACCGUUAAAGCCGGGCACUGAUUGUGAGUGUUCUGGUGUCGGAAGUGUGCGAAAGCAACCGGGCCGGGGUUUCGCUAACACCAUGAGGGCGGCUGCCCUAUGACUGGGGUUUGAUAGUGACCUGAGCCACAGUU
rnacentral:snoRNA from 1 species